rnacentral:rRNA from 1 species
GAAGGGCCCGAGCGUUGCGCGGAAUCACUGGGGCUUAAAGCGUACGUAGGCGGACAUGCAGGGCAUCUUGUGAAAGCCCUCGGGCUCAACCGAGGAACUGCAGGGUGAACCGCAUGUCUUGAGGUGAGUAGGGGCUGUCGGAACGAUAGGUGGAGCGGUGAAAUGCGUUGAUAUCUAUCGGAACGCCAAAGGCGAAGGCAGACAGCUGGGCUCAUUCUGACGCUGAGGUACGAAAGCGUGGGGAGCGAACGGGAUUAGAUACCCCGGUAGUCCACGCCGUAAACGAUGUGCACUAGAUCGAGGGAGUUCUGACACUAUUCUCGGUCGAAGCAAAAGUGUUAAGUGCACCGCCUGGGGAGUACGGUCGCAAGGCUA